rnacentral:rRNA from 1 species
GUCUACGGCCAUGCCACCUUGAACAAGCCUGAUGUCUGAUCUCGGAAGCUAGGCAGCGUCAGGCCUGGUUAGUACUUGGAUGAAGACCACGAAGACCAGGUGCUGUAAGUG